GUUUGGGAGGCUGCAAGCAAAAUGUCGCAGCAAUCUGACGGACCAGGUGGUGAAAAGGGACCGCGCGCAGGAGCCUGGUGGCUGAGCAGAGGCGAGAGGACACACCGGGAAGACCCUCGCUGUGCGGUGGUGGCCGUGUCCCCCUGGUGUGAGCUCGGGUGCAUCCAAGGCGAUUCCAGGCCUCGCAGCACCUGCAGCUAAGUUUCUGCCCCUUCUUCUCUGGGCUUUUAAAUUCCACUAGAGGGGGAGGGAGCUGUGUUUCCAACAAGGAGGGGAUAGAAAGCAACACUGGCCAAGGCUGAGGAACCGUGGAAAGUGAUUCCUCCUCCUUCAGAUCUGUGUUAUAAAGCACACAUUUGCGCUGUAAGGGGCUCUGUGCCACCCCUCACAGUGGACACGGUGGUAACAGACAUCCACCUUGUCUCGGUCACGGGUGGGGACUCACACCACUCAGCCUGGUCCCAAGUUCCCGCGGCCUUACUGAAGCCACACCCGGUUCCAGACCCCAGGAAGCUGCCAGGGCUCUGUGGUCCCGAUUGGGUGAACCCUGAAAGGCGACAGGAGAUGUGGUCGUGGGUGCUGCUCAAACCGGAGCCUGCACCCGUCACCCCCCGAUGCUAUGCCAGUAGCCGGGCCUGAAGCUGUGUGCCUGCCGUGUAUUCAGCAGGCACCCGUGCGCUGCACUGUGCUCGGCCCUCAGCCUUGGCUGGCUCUCACCUCACGGCCACUGUCAGUCACAUAAUCCCCGAUUCUGCACGGAGGUUGCUGAUUCCAACACUGGGCCAGUGAGCUCUGCCUCAGUGCCCAGCAUGUGUUAUCCUGAGACCUGAGACCGGGGACAGGCUCCCGGGGCGGAGCCAUCGGGGUCUGAGAUGUGCAGGACAUCGCAGGGACAGGCCAACACAGCGCCCAGCACUGCCACACGUGUCUGUGGGGUUGGCCAUGGGGGCCCACACCGUGCCCUGCCAGCGGCCACACGUACUGGCACACCCAGGCCACCAGGCCCUGUCGGUGCAGAUGCUGGUCCCAGACAUCCACACCAGCCCAGGGAGCUCCCGGCAAGGAGAGACCCCGAGACCAGCAAGGGCUUGGGGCAUGGGGAUGUGCCAUCUCCCUCCACUGCCCAAACGCUUUUCCCGCACUUUCUGGACCUCACCUCAGAGUUCCCCAAGGGCAGGAAGGCCGGCACUGAACCGCAAAUGCCCAAGGGCAUGCACAGGGUAUGCUCCAGAUGCUUCUGGACGGCUCCUCCAUGGCCUGCUUCUGUUCACACUCUUCUUGCUCUCCCAAGAAACCUACCAGUCGCCCGAGCUUGCCUGUGAGGGACGAGGGACGCCGAACUUCCCCCAAGCUGAUGGUGGUGUCCUUGCUGAGCCCGGCGGUCUGUGUGUGCUUUCAGUGUGAUGAACCCAUGCACACACCUCCGAGUGACACCUUCCAAGUUUCUCUCCAAAACGGCUUUGCUUACAUCCAGCUGUAAAGAGAACGCCCGUGUCUGAAGAGUACCUUAGGGAAGGAAAGCACAGAAAGAUCCCAAAGUCCUUCUGUGUGGCGCAGCACGUUCUGCAGCACAGAGCCAGUGAUUCUGGUUUUGGCCACAUCCAUGAAACAGAGGCAGCAGAAUCCGAUUUGCCUGGCGCCAGCUUGCUGGCUCUUCUCCGCCGAGAAGGGCGCAGGGCUGAGCACCUGGCAGCCCCCAGAUGGAGAGUCUGGGCCACUGGCUGGGCUGUGGGCACCACUAGGAGUGAGUUGAGACUGGGCCUUCUCCCUGCACGCGUGCUUCGCACACACUCUCCCCAUCGACCUGACCCCUUCCUGCGGCAGCUCUGGAGUCCUCUCUCCUGGGGGUCUUCAGUUGCGCUGUCCUGGCUUCCUCAGUGUCCUGAAUGGAUUCAAAACGUUUCCCUUUUUGUGGUCAUUUUGACUUUGGGGAAGAGUCAGAAGUCUCACGGUGCCAGAUGCAGUGACUAAGGUGGAAGAGAACACAGAGUCAGUGUUCUGAACCCGCCUUUCCGUUGGAUGGCGCUCAGCAGCAGCAUUCUCUGUAUUCUUUAUCACACCUCAUACAGAUACUAACAAAAGAGGACUCCAGAGCUGCUUCAGAAAGUGGCAGGGACGGUGGGAUGAGUGUGUUCAAAGAGCAGGGUAUCAUGAGGGGGAUCGUUGGCAAUGUGUCUUUCACUGUGAUGUUUUCUUUGAUUUAAGUGUCCGCCACGUGUUUUGAUCACUCACGUGGGUGUGUGCAUGAGCGUGUGUGUGCAUGAGCGUGUGUGUGCAUGUGGGUGUACGAUAUAUAUGAUCCCACUGACCCUGUAAAGCACCAGUGUCUCCCUCUUGGGCUGACACGCACCUUCAGCCUUGCACCGUGCCCUCACCAGUCUGCCCCUCCGCCUUGCUGCGCCUCUCCCUGGGGUGCACCCAGGGCUCCUGCCCAGGGCAGUGUCGCCUCCUACCCAGGCAGGUGUGGGCAUCUCAGCUCCAGCCUCUCACCAGCUGCUCUCUCCCUUCUCUGAGACCAUCCUCGGCCCGUUCCCCUCACUCCUCUCCAUGCAGCAGGAAGACCAUGGCUCAGGCUUUCCCUUGAGGAGCCACAGGCAGGGCCCUGGGUGUCAAGGGAGACUGAGCCAGCCAGCUGCGGCUGACACUGUGUUCACACACCACGCCCAGGCCCCACCUGGCUGCCAUGGUUACACCAGGCUCCCAGGGGGAGAGGAACACCUGGGCCAGGUGCAUCUAACAAGGAGCCAGGUGUGAAAGGCACUGGCCAAUCUGUGCUCCCAGGUGUCUGUCCUGCCACCGAGGGUGCUCAGCCGAAAGUGACAGUGAGGGCUCUCUGCUCACACCGUCUCCACUCGUCACCCUCAUCCCAUCACAGCCAUCGUGGCUGCCUGCAACACCCGCACUUCCCUCUCGACUCCAUGGCAGAAUUUGCAGACGGUGGCCAUCUUUGCUGCCUUCCAGCCGGUGCUGCCAGGCAGAGGGACACCUGUUUGCUUUUGGCCCCAGGUGCAACAUCUCCAACCCCUUCUGCUGUUUCAGCUCAGGAAACCGAGUCAGCAGAUGAGGCUGAACUUUGGAGUGGAGUCUGUAGGAGGCUGAGACUCCAGCUGCGGACGCCAAAGCCAGCUCAGAGGGGGCCCCAGCCACGGCCAGGCCAGAGAACGCACCCGGCAUUGUGGAUUCCAAAGAGCUUUGGAGGGUCCCUAGGACUGCUCAACAAUGCCCGUGGGUCUGUCCUCCCCAGUGGCGGGUGACACUAGUGCCAUUGUCUGCAGAGCUGAGCUAAUAACAUCAUCGCGAAUCACUCAGGGCCAGUUAAUCAGAAGGAAGAGGCGGUAACGGCAUCUUUAUGAUACACAGUUAUGUGAUAAGAUGCAGACGUAAUGAGAACUCUUUUUCUUCUGGAAAAGAUUAAAGACAUAAAAUCCUG